rfam:Medicago truncatula strain A17 chromosome 1, whole genome shotgun sequence.
GUAUAAGCAAAAGUUUGAAUUUUAGAUUCAUUCAUUAAAUGAUGUAUGUAGUAGACUACAUACAUCAUUUAAUGAAUGAAUCUAAAAUUCAAACUUUUGCUUAUAC